rnacentral:tRNA from 1 species
GGAGAGGUUACCGAGUUUGGUCAAAUUGACUGAGGUAAAAAAGGUCUUUAUACGUUUUUAAAGGGUCAAGACUAUAGGUGCUGGACUUAAGAUCCAGUGGCAAAGGCCUUCGUGAGUUCGAAUCUCACCCUCUCCA